CGAACGCGAACGUUCCCUUCGGGGAACAAGUAGAGUGGCGAAAGGGCGAGGAAUACAUGGGUAACGUGCCUCGAGCACGAGGACAGCCGGGGGAAACUCCGGUUAAUACUCGAUAAGACCACAGCACCGCAGGGUGCAGGGGUCAAAGGGUGGGGACCUUCGGGCCUGCCGGCUCGAGAGCGGCCCAUGUCCUAUCAGCUUGUUGGUGGGGUAACGGCCUACCAAGGCUACGACGGGUACCGGGACUGAGAGGUUGACCCGGCGCAUCGGGACUGAGACACUGCCCGGACUCCUACGGGAGGCUGCAGUAACGAAUAUUGGGCAAUGGGCGAAAGCCUGACCCAGCGACGCCGCGUGUGGGAAGAAUGCCUUCGGGUUGUAAACCACUGUCAGGGAUUACCAACCAACCGGUGUGAAUAGCGCCGGGAGUUGAGGAGUCCCAGAGGAAGUCACGGUUAACUUCGUGCCAGCAGCCGCGGUAAUACGAAGGUGGCUAGCGUUGUCCGGAAUCACUGGGCUUAAAGAGCACGUAGGCGGAUGAUCAAGCGUCUUGUGAAAGCCCUCGGCUCAACCGGGGAAUUGCUUGGCGAACUGAUCAUCUUGAGGCAGGUAGGGGCGAAGUGGAACUCUUGGUGGAGCGGUGGAAUGCUUAGAUAUCAAGAGGAACGCCAGAGGCGAAGGCGACUCGCUGGGCCUGACCUGACGCUGAGGUGCGAAAGCCAGGGGAGCGAACGGGAUUAGAUACCCCGGUAGUCCUGGCCCUAAACGAUGUCCACUAGGUCGGUGAGGUUCUAAUGCUUUUGCUGGCCGAUACAAUAGCGUUAACGUGGACCCGCCUGGGGAGUACGGUACCGCAAGGCUAAACUCAAAGAAUGACGGGGUUAACACAACCGUUGACCAUUUGCUUAAUUCGAUCCAACGCGAAGACCCUUAUCCUGGGCCUUAGCAUACCCGUAUCCCUUCCUGAAACUAGUUCGGUUGCCCUUUCGGGUGAAACG
rnacentral:rRNA from 1 species